GACAGAGGCCCCAAGCGUUAGGCGGAAUCACUGGGCUCAAAGCGUGUGUAGGCGGACGCCUAAGUGUCUUGUGAAAUCCCACGGCUCACCCGUGGAACUGCUGGGCAUACUGGGCGUCUUGGGCCAACUAGGGGCAGCCGGAACAAGCGGUGGAGCGGUGAAAUGCGUAGAGAUCGGAAAGAACACCAACGGCGAAAGCACUCUGCUGGGCCGACACUGACACUGAGAGACGAAAGCUAGGGGAGCGAAUGGG
rnacentral:rRNA from 1 species